UGCCCGACGAGAAGAGACACGCCCAC
rnacentral:piRNA from 1 species